UCCCUGACAUUUAGCUGUUAUCUAUUCUAACUUUCGUUAAAAAAAAAGUUCUUAAAUUUCGUCUUGGCUUUAUACUUGUCUCUUUAGUGUGGUAGAAAUUUCUAAAGAGCUACAAUGAAAGGUGUUCUGUGUUUUGCUGUGUUGGCCAUUUUUCUAGUGUUGUCCUAUGGUGCGCCUCGAGAUUUAUUCUCUUUUGGCAACAUGUGCAUGGACACAUGUAACAGCAACCCCAUCUCUAUCAGCCUGUCGGGGUGUGGACCCAAUGAAGUCUGUACCAUCAAUAGCUGUGGACAUUACUCCUGUCAGUUCUUAGUUGGAUGAUAGUCUACCCAGUGAAACAAGACUCACUCAGGAAGUUGUGGGCAGCAUAAGCAACUUUUGAGUUAACGAGUCAAGUUCUAGUACAGCUUUUUGAUAGAGAGGCUAAAGACAUUAAAAU